AAGUUCAUGUGCACCGCUUUGACAGCCCAGGGUUUCACCGAUUCGGAUCCUGGGCACAGACCUAGCAGUGCUCAUCAAGCCAUGCUGAGGUGGGGUCCCACACAGCACAACUAGAAGGACCUACAAUGAGGAUAUACAACUAGUUUAGGCCAGUUCGGGUGCAGAUUCCCGUUACUCAGAGCUGAAAGCAUCCUAACUCAUGCAAUGUCUCAGGAUUCCAGAAAUGGCUGAGGCCUGGAGCCGGUUGCUUGAGGCCCCAUGGAGAGUGGUUCCCUGAGCAGACAUUCAAAAGCACUCCAUCUGCAUCGUGCGAGCCCCCACAUUCAACUAGGAUGGAAUAUCGCAGUGUUGGCUUCCUGAGUGGCCGCUGAGCUGAGGGCCUGCAUGACAAACCCUGGAGACACAGGAUACUUGAUGUAACUCUGAGCAAGUAUAUCAGCAGCAAUCACUUUCCAGGAGUAACGAAAGCUGCCAUCUGAUGGUUACGCGCUGGGCCUCAAGCUAAGCUCUUUAUGUUCCCCACGUUGAAUCCUCACAGCGACUCUCUGAGAUGGGAUUAUACACAUCUUAGAAAUGAGGAAACUGUUUCACAGGGAAUAGCUCAGUCAUUGCCCCAGGUCACACAGCCAGGUGGUGGAGCACCUAGGAUUUGAACCCAAGAAUUCUGCCUUCCAAGUUCAUCGUAUCGUCUUUCCCUAUACUGUGAGGCAGCCUGAGUUUAGCUCCAAAACCAAAGCUUAUUACAACGAUGGAAAAGUGCUAGAGGGGUGGAGUAGACAAUGCAAUUUCCCCAUAGAAGUCAUGGAAUUUCUCUAACUACUUGGACGCCCUACAAGUGAGAUUGCAUAGUUCUGAAAGGAGGGGUCCCCUACUCUGCAGCCCUUGUCCACUGACGCGUCCUGUUAAUUAGAAGCCACACACAUGCCCGCGCGCGCGCACACAGCACCUAGCAUCUGAAACAGACUCAUGAAACACCAGCAGGUGGCUGACAGGAAGCCUAGGGUUUCAAAGGACAACACUCAGGUAGAUCGCAGUCAGCAGGGGAUGGCAGCCGGGAGGGCAAGGCUCCUCAAACCACAGAAGUUCCACAGCGCUGCUCACGCGUGUGGUCGGAGCCCUCUGCAAACACUGCACCUCAGCUACAGCAUCCCACCGCUGGAUGGAAGUCCUUCCCUUGUUUCGGUCGAGUUUGCCCUUCUGGUGCAGGCACCCCGUCUCCCGGCCUGAGAAUAAUGAAUUAGGCUGUGUGUGGUGUACCGGGAAGGGCAGUAAUUUUCCUGAGCAACAAGAACUGACGUUUUCCCAUGGCUAAUCAGAAAGGAACUAAGCACUAUAAUGUUAGUAAAUCCCUUCAGCUCCUGGGAUAAGAGCCAUUAUGUAAGCAUUACUUAUUAUCGCUGUUGGAAGGGAGAAAGGGCUAAG
rnacentral:lncRNA from 1 species